rnacentral:rRNA from 1 species
UACGAAGGGGGCUAGCGUUGCUCGGAAUUACUGGGCGUAAAGCGCACGUAGGCGGCUUUCUAAGUCGGGGGUGAAAUCCUGGAGCUCAACUCCAGAACUGCCUUCGAUACUGGAGAGCUUGAGUCCGGGAGAGGUGAGUGGAACUGCGAGUGUAGAGGUGAAAUUCGUAGAUAUUCGCAAGAACACCAGUGGCGAAGGCGGCUCACUGGCCCGAUACUGACGCUGAUGCACGAAAGCGUGGGGAGCAAACAGG